AUAAAUUCAAAGACAGAAGUAUUAACCUUUAUGACAAAAUAUAGCUGGCCUGGGAAUAGAAAAGUGGGGUGUCUCUGCCUUUUAUGCCCUCUUAAGCCAGCACAGCUGAGACAGAUCAGCCUGUGGAUUCAGUCAUAAUUUGUAAUAUGUUAUUAAUUGAAUAUUAAUUCUCUGUAAAACUACACAGAACAAUGAAUUGUUAUAAGUGACAAUAAGUGGAUCUGUAGUUACUGGAAAAGUUUGGAAGAAGGGUUAAUAGGUUGCAUGCAACCCCCAGUCGGCCUGAAAACCAGUGUUUUGUUGUCUAUUAUGACAGUAUCACAACAGAGAUGUGUGCAUGCUUCUGGGUAGAUAACUGGAGGGUGCCUAUAUCCAGAGUGCCUUUAACUUACCUAUCUUUAUGUUUGUCAGAUGUUAUUACAGAAGAGCUUUAAAUGAUGUAUUAUACAGAGACUGUUUACUAAUAGUGACUUAAGGUGUAAGAAGCUUAAUAUAUGUUGAUAUUUUGAUACUGUAAAUUGAUGAGCAUCAGCAGAAGGAGAUUGUACGUUUAACUAAAAUAUUUCAUGUCAACCUGAACUACUGUCAAGUUUUUGGUGCAAACAAGUAACCCUCUGUUUACUGUGGUGAUAGAAAUCUGUACAGAGCUCCAGUCAGAUGUAUGCCCUGAACAUACACUGGUGCUUUAUUUUUGUCCAGUUACCCAGAAGUAUGGUUUUACUGACUUUUCUACAGAGGUGCAACUUCUAUGUCAGUUUAAAUAGGACUUGUGUUAGUUUAGCUGAAUGCAACCCCACAGCAACUUCUUCAGUGCUGCUUGUGUCUUCUACGAAAGCGUACCUGCAGAGUUUUAAUAGCCAAGAAACUUUGUUAUUAAUCUCUAACAAAUGACUGAAAAUCAGCGUCCAUUAAUCCAUGCUGUUUGCAUGUGUCUGCUUUGUAGCUCUGUACUAUCAGAACAAAUCCUCUUUGCUGGAAUGAAUGAAGGUUCCUGCUUUGAUAGUUUUUGCCAGGUAUUGCUAUAUGAAUUCUAGGGUAGUCAUGAUCUCACUGUACUAUGACUGUCUUUAGGAACUAGGAGAGCCAUUUUACUCUCAGGUGGAAGGCAUCCAUCUACAAAGCAGAAUGGGAGAAGCACCAAGCUUAAAAAUAAAUACGCAAGCAAGCAAACAAACAAACAAAUUAGAGGCAGAGAAGCAAGCUGUUCCAUCUUCUUAGCUAGCAUUCAAAGACAGAGGAAUACUGCUUUACAUUCCACUAAUUGUACUGCAGAUGAUUUGCUUCAUGCUUGGAUUGAAAGCUAUUGUUUAUCCAGUAGGAAACUGACCAUUGACAGAGAGUAGUUUUUAUACCACUUGCCCUGUCUUUAUAGGAUAAGGGUAUCUAAGCCUAUAACAUACACAAUAUAAUUUUUUUUAUAAUGAUUUAUGUCAACACGUUCAGAAGGAACCUUAUCUUUACAACAAGGUUAAUGAUUAAUUCUGGAAUUUUCCAGAGGUUUGCUAACAUUGUAUUUCAAGCCUGGAUUGAAGCUUCCACUCCCCUGCUGUCUUUGAUGAUUCAUGCAAGCCCUGGCUCAGUGCAGGCUCUAGGAGAGGGAGACUAGAAGCACAAUGAGAGAGAAAGUCAAGCCCUCCGUACUCGUAGGAUGCAACCAAACCAAGCCUCCAGGCCUGAAGCCAUGGGCUUAGGCUGGAUACCAAGCACAGACUUAGGCACUGUGUAGGUGGACCAGGAAUGUCGUCAUGCAGCAGUGUCCCAUGGUUAAUACUGAAGAGGCAAAUCAGUCUUGGAUCAUUUUCAAGAAGGGCCUCAGCACAAGCUGCUGCAAGGGCAGUUGGUAUUUAUAAGCAGUGUGAGCUCAGACUGUGUGAAAGCUCACAGCUAAAUUAUGCACAUCUAACCCAAUCGUGGAGACACCGGGAUUAUGCCAAAAGCAGGCCACUCAGGGUCCUUCUCUGGCAGGGGCAAUGCAGGUAUAGGUAAGGUCUCAGGCUGGACAUCAAAAAUUAGGAAAGUAAUUUAUUUUUAAAAAAGUUAAAAUUGUGCCUCUUGAUUCACAAUAACCUGUUAUUAUGCCGAUAACCCACAGUGAUCUAUAUUUGCUAGUAUUUCUGUUUGCAUUUUGAAGAGCUUUCAUGUUCGGUCAACAAUGGAACAGUCUUCUACAGCCAGACCCAGCCCCAGGUGCUCAAACAAAAUAACUUUCCUGCAGGUCUAAUAAUUCCAAUGCUACUGAACAAACAUCUAUACACUGCUUUAGUGGAAUAACCAACCACAGGCCUGUGGAACUUGGCCUUUCAAUGAAAGCAGGAGUUAAAGUUUGUUAUCCUCUGCCUCAACACAUCUCAUAAACCUCCUGGCAAUCUUGUUUUACAUAAACAACGCUAUUUUAAAAAAAUGAGAACUAAUUAUCUUUACAAAGAUAAUAAAAUUACAGAAUACACAGAACACAUAAAUUAUUCUUGUUUUUCUCACUUAACUGGUCAAAUUAGCUGCAUAGAUGUAAUUUUACUGGCUCCUUCUAGAUAGAUAAGAUAAGAUUCACAAUCUGUUCAAGAAAAUUAUGUAAGACUAUUGCAGGUAUGAAUCAGCAUUUUCCCC